AACAUCACAUAACAUAUUAGGUAUCAUGAGAGAAAGCAUAAGCAAGUCUAGUUGGAGUUUAAACUUUCCUAAUCCCUUUAUUUCUUCUUGGCCGAAACUUCAAGGGGCAUGGUCUUAGGUUUUAAGCAAUAUCAACCAUGAAUAGCAUCUUAAUAACAUCACAUAACAUAUUAGGUAUCAUGAGAGAAAGCAUAAGCAAGUCUAGUUGGAAUUUAAACUUUCCUAAUCCCUUUAUUUCUUCUUGGCCGAAACUUCAAGGGGCAUGGUCCUAGGUUUUUAAGCAACAUAAAAAAAAUAACGAGGAAAACCACUUGUACUACAGGUGAGGGGAAAUACUUACAUCCUUUCGCUUGGUUUACCACAAGGAGAAUACCCUUGGUGGAGAGAAAAAGAAGACCUUCCGCUUCUAGGACUCCUUGCGUAUCUUGCUUGUAAGAAGACUUAGGCCUUAAGGACUCCUCCUUGUGAAGACUUCCUAGGAAGAAAUCCUAGGCUUGAUUCCGAACAUGGGGGAGAAGGAGGCUAGUUUCGGUGGAGGGAGGAAGGAGGAGGAAGAAGAAAAUAACUUUUCAUUCCCUUACUCCUAUUUAUUCUAAAUGAAGGGAGAAAGGGAAAACACCUUUUCAUUCCCUUACUUCAUCUACUCUAAAUGAAGGGAGAAAGGGAAAAUAAACUUUUCAUUCUAAGUGAAGGGAGAAAGGUGUCCCUUCACCUUCCCUACCCUUGACUACAAUUUCCCUUUCCUUCCUAACAGCGCACCCCUGUUGGGGCUACUGGUUAUCCCAUAUCACAGAGAGCUUGUCACUUACUAAAAGGUUCAAGGUUCGAACCUUGGCCAUGCCUCUUUGUGGUUCUAUCUUUCUCUUUUUUUUUUUUUUUUUGAAGAAGGAAUCCACAUAAAACUCAUUCUAACCAUGCAAAAUUUAUAUAAAAUUGCUAGAGAUUUUAUGGGUGUUACACAAGGAGCUACGUGAGCUAAUCGGAGUUUGCCGGGGAGUCAUUCAUCGACGGAUCGGGAUCGUCCAUCUUACGGGCAGUCGUGGAGUAGGAGCUUUAUCUCCGAAUCACGUAAAUCGUCGUGAAGCAAUCGAUUUGGAGGCGCCGUCUAUUCAACCCCUCUUCUAGCCGGCCACACAAGAUCCCCUACAAGUGCUCUCAGAGCGAGGACACUCUCCAUUGGACUAACCACCAAGGAAGCAAAAAGAUGGCCGACUUGAUAGUACCUCCAAAGUUUGAAGGAGGAGGCUUAUGGGACAUCACCUUUUUGAUGGUGAAAAUGAAGAACUUUUUUGAGACGGAUUGGGACAACAUGUUGGCCGUCGAGGAACCAUUUGAAGUCCCAAAAGAUAAGAAAGGGAAGAAACUCCGACCACGAUAUUGGACGGAAGAGCAAACGACACGGGCAAAGGCAAA